rfam:Schistosoma mansoni strain Puerto Rico chromosome 4, complete genome
AUCUGGCUGACGAGUCCCAAAUGGAACGAAAUGCACGUCCUGCAU